AUGUCAAUGUAGCGGUAUCUCACAUCAAUUACGCAUUAUUAUAUGAGGAUACUAAAACACAUUACAAUGCGUGAUUGAUUUGAAAUACCGCAAUAAUAACAUCCAUAACAUAGGUAAGUUUUUCAUCGCCCUUAUCAAUCCUAUUGAGUAACCUGUUAGAAUCUUCUCUCCAAAGCCGGCUCUUCUGCGUCAGUUGACCUCCCCCUCCCCCUCCCCUCUUUUCUCCCCCAACUGUGACAAGGACGAGCUCAAAUUUUUGAUCUUAUCUAUGGAAUGAAAUGUAGUUUUUAUUAUUUUUUAAAUCAAACAAAACUACAUACAUUUAAAACUUGUUUGACAAAGAAAAUAAAAAGACAUUCGUUUUAGGCACUAACCGCUUCCACGUGGAACCGUACGUGGGGGGCUAAUAACGGUUUUAACCGAAACUCCAAGGACUCCAAUUUUUCUCACACAAACACUCUGUUUUCCCUCUGAUCUCUCUGCCUCUCAGAGCCGUGAAUGAAGAAUACGACGUCAUAGUGCUCGGAACUGGCCUCAAAGAAUGCAUUCUCAGCGGCCUCCUCUUUGUGGAUGUUCUCAAGACCACCUAUGUAAUUCAGCACAACCUACUACCAUCUAGUUUUCUACAAGCACAAGCUCUUGAGAUGAAAUCAAAUUUAUCAUAUGAGUUAUCCCCUAGGGCUAAAAAGUUGGAAGAUUGGUUCAUCCUUUGCGUUAAAAAGACCUAAAGAAACCCAGCUACUUCUAUCAAGCUGCAAAAUUGUGAGUUGGAAUCACAAGGAAAGCUUGUAAAAAUUGAAAUGGUGUUGGAGCUCAUUUUGCUGUUAAGCCAUUUGUCUGUGUUAGAUGUGCGUGGGCUGCUGCAUGUUGGUGCUCUAGGCUAAUUAUUUUGGGACUUUGAUUCCAAGAAAAUAAUGAAGUUUCCCGAGAUCCUUCAUAGAAAAUAUAAGUUGCCUGAUCGCCGAAUCAAAUGAGAAAUUUGUUCUUGAUCAUUGCCAAUUAUAAGGAUGUCAUCGACAUAAAUGAGCAGAACCAAAUAGAUGCCUUGUUAAUUGUAAACAAAGAGUGUGUAGUCACAUUUGGACUCAUGAAAUCCAAGCUGCAAAAGAUAUUCAGAGAAUCAUUGAAACCAAGUUUGUGGAGCUUGUUUCAAUCCAUAUAGACUACGCUUCAAUUUACA